AGCGGGGUGGGGAAGCCAGGUUAUCCCGGCGGGCUCAUAACCCGCAGAGCGGUUUCCAUUAGAGUAAACCUUGAUGGCCGUAAGUUCAAAUCAACCCCCCGCUA
rnacentral:tRNA from 1 species